rnacentral:tRNA from 1 species
UCCUUUGUGGUGUAACGGUUAGCACACUCGGCGCAUAUUCGAAACGUCCAGGUUCGAGUCCCGGCGAAGGUA